UUUGUACUAAAACAUUUAAGUCACUUUAUUAUACAACUUUCUAUAAAAGCUCAUUGAAAUAGGAUAAAAGCUUUUAAAGUUAUUUGUACUAAAAAGUUAAGGUGAAACAUAGAUGGCCCAAAGGAGUCGAAAAUAUGAACUGUGGUUGACUCGUCUAAAUUUUUAGUUUUGUAUUAGUAAAUGUCAAAUUACAUGAUCAGUAAAAUUUUACGUUCGAUCAAGUUUCGUAGAAUAGAUUCAGCCAUUACCAAAUCUGAUCGGCAAGUGAGCAGACAGUUAGUUUCGGUGAUAGUGCUUUCAAUUUUUUCAAUCUAAGUUAUUAAAAAUAGUUCCGGAUUUAUUUUAUCACUGGGAACGGAAACUCUGCUCAUCUGUGCAGUUCUAAAUCUGUACAAAAGGUAAUUUUAUAAAGUGAAUUCAUUUAAUGUACAAAAUUCUAAUUGGUUUCGUCGUUGGGCAUCAGCGUCCAACGGACGCUUUUUUGUACGGGCCUCAAGCCCGCAGCUACACACUCCGCCAUUUUGAACAUCCACACGACCACGUGGGACAUUUCCGAGGACGCUCGCUCAUCCAGGCCCGCCACAGAGCUGGCAGUCAAACGGGUGGAGAGGAUUGUCUGGCCUGCCCGCAUUCUGAGAGGAGUGAUCGGGUAGCGUACUUGGACCUGCCGAAACCCUUCCCCGCACCUUUAUUCCGGCCAUCAGUGAUUCGAGCUUCUUUUCCGAGCCGUCCCUCGAAGGAACGGGAUCCCGCCGGCCCCGGCGGCAAACCCUUGCUCCGCCGCUGCGCUCGCCAAGAACAUCGCACUCCGUCCGUGCACCCCUCGUCAGCUGACAGCAUAAGUUAAACCCUGCGCAGGUAUGUCCUCAUAAUCAUGGCCAUGAACACACUACACAACACACACUCACACACUCUCACACUGGAUGCUUAAAACGAAAAAAUGAAUUAAUACAUAAAAAUGAAUUCAAACUCAACA